rnacentral:rRNA from 1 species
UACGUAGGGGGCGAGCGUUGUCCGGAUUUAUUGGGCGUAAAGCGCGCGUAGGCGGCUUUGUAAGUUAGAGGUGAAAGCCCGGGGCUCAACCCCGGAACUGCCUUUAAGACUGCAUCGCUUGAAUCCGGGAGAGGUGAGUGGAAUUCCGAGUGUAGAGGUGAAAUGCGCAGAUAUCAGGAGGAACACCGAUGGCGAAGGCAGGUCUCUGGGCCACUACUGACGCUGAGAAGCGAAAGCAUGGGGAGCGAACAGG